AGACAGUCUACCAAGAUCUGCAACAAGAACGUCAGUAGUUUUUGUACUGUGAGGUAUGAGUAUAAUUGGUGAGCCAGCUUCAACAUCAAACAAUAUCCGGGGUUGGUGAAAGGCUUCUUCAUUGAUCUGAAAUAAUGAUUCAUAUAGCACCCUUUUUAUGAUAAACGCAUUCAAAGGUGCUUUACAUAGUGCAAACGCAGCCACACAGGGCGCGAAAUUCGUCCUCUACUAGUACAGACACAGAGUGAUCUGACCAGAGGGACAGAGUGAGACAUAGCCCCCAGAACAGAGAGAGAAAUUUGAGAUGUUGUGCAGAAAAACAUUUGGGCAUACCAUUUUUUUACCAUGUACCAACAGUGUAGGAUAUAUGGCAAACAGGACUAAAAAUAUUGGUGAUGCUUUGUCCACUAAGAGAACUGAGAUGUGAACAAGAUUUUCUCCUGAAAGCUCGUCGUGAGAGUACCUACGUGAAAAAUGGGGUGUUGGAGGAGGCGUGCUUGGACUGGCCCUGAAAUAUAGAAUAAU